CGGUCAUCGUUAUAAACACCUACUAUUCUCCGAUUCGCUUCUUAUCAUUUCCAGAAAUCGAGGGUUCCUGUUUUCUUCGGUGAAGCCCAAUCAUCGCCCUUUAAGACGAUAAGAUGAGCCGCAGUUCACGUGCCAGUCGAACCAUCUAUGUUGGCAACCUUCCUGGUGAUAUUCGGGAGAGGGAGGUGGAAGAUCUAUUUUAUAAGUAUGGACCCAUUAUUGAUAUUGAUUUGAAGAUUCCCCCUAGACCUCCUGGUUAUGCUUUCGUUGAGUUUGAAGAUCCAAGGGAUGCUGAAGAUGCUAUUAUUGGCCGCGAUGGAUGUAAUUUUGAUGGGUAUAGGUUACGGGUUGAGCUUGCACAUGGUGGGAGAGGACGGUCCUCAUCAUAUGACCGGUAUAGCAGUUACAGUAGUGGUGGGGGUCGUGGUGGUGUCUCUAGGCGCUCAGACUACCGUGUCUUGGUCACUGGUUUACCUUCAUCAGCUUCAUGGCAAGACCUGAAGGACCACAUGCGGCGGGCUGGUGAUGUUUGUUUCUCGCAAGUGUUCCGUGAUGACAGAGGGACAACUGGAAUUGUUGACUAUACAAACUAUGACGACAUGAAAUAUGCAAUAAGGAAACUUGAUGACUCUGAGUUCCGCAAUGCAUUUUCACGAGCAUAUAUAAGGGUGAAGGAGUAUGAUUCAAGGAGGAGCUUAUCUCGGAGCAGAAGUCCUAGCUACUCGAGGAGCCGUAGCAUUAGUCGUGGUCCUAGUUACAGCCGUAGCAGGAGCCGUAGUCAAAGCAUUUCACCAAGGGUUAAGGCAUCACGGCGUUAUUUAUCUAGAUCUGCAUCCCCUCGUUCCCGUUCAGUGUCAAAUGGGCUGUCUGUAUCAAGUGUUUUCCAAGCUGACAGUUUUCCUUAGCGCGACUUAAGCGUCUUGCAUGAAAAGAACAUAUCAGGCUGCAGUUUUCUCGUCUUUGCAUAUUUGAAAGUAAUCUUGUUUGUUUUCUAGAUAAGGGCCUUUUUGCGGCGUUCAGGGGAUUGGAUACUGUUAUGGUUGUGAGCUGACACCCAUCGGGAGCGGAGUGGGGAAUAAAGGAUGGGUUGGCAUUUUAGAGCUGGAUUAUCAUGGACUUAUUAGUGGGGACUUGGACCGGACAACCAGCCGUAGAAUCAAAGCUGAGGAAUCUGGAUGUGGAUUGUUGUGUUCUCUGCUGUCAUUUUCUUUUCUAUUGCAAUUCUUUUGCAGAUGCUUUCCAUGUCACAAAAGAUUUUAUAUAAAAUUUUUAUCCUCUCGUAUAUGGUAAUAUUAUGUGGAAGAGGACCUUGAGGUUUUUCAGACAAUCUUGAAUAAAGCUUAUUGAAGCCCAUGCUAUGAUUAUUGAAUUCGACUUGUGGUAACUUUUUUGCAGGUCCAGGUCGAGAUCCCCCUAUGAUUCUCCUCCACGUAAGAAACGAGUGAGCCAAAACCCGGUUUCAAGGAAACGUAGCCCUUCUCCUUACUAUUCUGAUCGUAGCAUGGACUGAAUGCCCUCGAAUGGUAGCACUCGUAUCUGUUGGAGGUUACUAGUUCUUUUGCACUCGUUAUUCAUGGAUGCUGUAAAACUUGUUAAGAGCUUUUAGACUUUAUAUGAACGGAGUCUAAAGAACUGAUAUAAAAAUUAAACUGGUGGUGGUGAUGAUAUUCUCAUGAUGUUCUAUGUAGGAUACUGGUGGUACCCAACAUUGCAUGAUUAAACCAUCUGUGUGCGAGCAGCGUUCUCUUGCUGCUUACUGUGUUUGGUUUUAUUUUUGUUGUGAAAGUGGGUUGUGUUUUUCA